AGGAUGAACGCUGGCGGCAUGCCUAACACAUGCAAGUCGAACGAUCCCUUCGGGGAUAGUGGCGAACGGGUGAGUAACACGUUGGUACCUACCCCAGAGUGGGGGAUAACCAGAGGAAACUCUGGCUAAUACCCCAUAGUCUCCGCUUCGUGCGGAGUAAAGGUUUACUGCUCUGGGAGGGGCCUGCGGUCCAUUAGCUUGUUGGUAGGGUAAUGGCCUACCAAGGCGAUGAUGGAUAGCUGGAUCGAGAGGUUGACCAGCCACACUGGGACUGAGACACGGCCCAGACUCCUACGGGAGGCAGCAGUGGGGAAUCUUGCGCAAUGGGCGAAAGCCUGACGCAGCGACGCCGCGUGGGGGAAGAAGGCCUUAGGGGUUGUAAACCGUCUUUCGAGU
rnacentral:rRNA from 1 species